rnacentral:rRNA from 1 species
UACGGAGGGUGCAAGCGUUAUCCGGAUUCACUGGGUUUAAAGGGAGCGUAGGCGGGCUUGUAAGUCAGUGGUGAAAUCUCCGGGCUUAACUCGGAAACUGCCAUUGAUACUAUAAGUCUUGAAUUAUCUGGAGGUAAGCGGAAUAUGUCAUGUAGCGGUGAAAUGCUUAGAUAUGACAUAGAACACCCAUUGCGAAGGCAGCUUACUACGGGUAUAUUGACGCUGAGGCUCGAAAGCGUGGGGGAUCAAACAGG